AUGAAAAACCAGUGUCUCUUUUCAGCCGAAACAAAAUGGGCAUCUCUGAAGUUCGAGUAUGCUAAGUGUGGAGACACAAAAAUCAAGGAAAAUGAAGAAAAGCACAGAAUGCUGCCCAGGAAAAAUUCCUCGAUGGUCCACACACUGAUGAGGCUGCAGUUCAGGAAAGGGCCGAGGAACGCGGUGGGGCAGGGGAAGGAAGGGGAGACAGGGCGGCGAGCGAGAGCCGAGUGGGCGUUGAGGAACGACGCGACCGACAUCGGGGGCGCGUGGGGAAGACCCUACCUCAAUGGAUCUAGGCUCAUGGAGGAACGAAGCACCGUGAUCCGGUGUACAGAGGCGGGAUCCGACGACGACUGGAGGCGGGAGCUCGCAGACGAACGCCGACCGAAAGAGGUGGCGCAGGGUCUAGGCUGCCGCCGGCGGAUCUCACUAAGCAGGACCACCCGCGCUGCAAACGACCCAGUAGCAGCAGGUCAUAGGCUGGCAAAGUUGCAGGUGGCCAGACUUGGGCCCAACCUCGUUAACGUGGGAAAACUGUGUUCCAGCUACUCGCUCGGUUCCAGCAUUAGCAUGUACCGCAUGCAUCAGCUUUUCUGGACGGGGCAGGAUGACAGCACAUGCAAGCUCAUGCAUAUGAGGCAUCGCAAAAGGGCAAAACGAGGAGGAGACCAUCUCUCCAUCUACAUCUGGGUCCGACGACCACGGGAUCGAGCUCCCCGAUGGCCCUGCUCUAGCUGCGCGAGAAGGAGACCAUCGCCUGUUCUAGCCGCGCAAGGGUCACUGGAUCCCGCGGCCACGGUGGUCCAAAUCCGGCUCGGUGACGCGGCGGGCGACCCGCCCAUGGUCACCGUGAGCUGCCCCGUCAAGACCGGCCUGGGCUGCGACCUCUGCCGCCUCGUCCUCCUCUUCGGCCUCAACAUCCUCAAGGGCGACAUGAGCACCGACGGCCGCUGGUGCUACAUCGUGCUCGGGCAACAUAGCAAAGCUGGCUUACUCCACGGUGAAGAUGUGUGUGUGUGUGUUCUUGUGUUCUUGAGAGAAAAAGAUAGAGAGAAACCACAAGAGUUGUGUGAGGCGGCUCGAGGGAGAGAACAAACGGCGCUGCGACGAGAGGCGGCCCCAACACUCAAGGAGCGCCUCGUCGAGCUAUGCCCCGUCCACGCGCCCUUCGGCGUCGACAGCGCCUACCUCGCCGCAGCCGGCCUCCAGGAUCCCAAUGGCCUCGCGGAGCCCCAGGUGUUCCUGAUCAAGUUCCGCUGCUACGACCGGAUGGGCCUCCUGCACGCAUGUCGUGUAUGGCUGGCUGUGUGUGUGUUGUGGGUGUUUGCAUCCGACCUUCACGGAGCCGGACGAGGUGACAUGGAAACCAUCAAAACUACACCUCGAACCGAAAUACGAAUUGCAAAGAACCGACAUCCGACUUUCACGGAGGUCCAAAGGAGGAGGCUUGACCUCGAGGCGGAGAAGCAAGCCAAGAAGCUUGCAAUGGAAGCGGAGAAGCAAGCCAAGAUGCUCGAGAUCGAGGCCGCCAAUGCCAAGAACAAGGCAAAAGAAGUGGCGCUCGCUAGCAUGAUGACGAUGGUGAAGAUCAUGAAGGUGGACCUGAACACCAUCUAUGGCGGAGAGUGUCCCCCUUCUUUGUAUGCUGGCAAGUAUGCUGGCAUGACCACGGCCGAGAUGGCGUGGUCGAAUUCCCAUCCCUUUUGUGUGCUGGCAUGUGUGCUAGCCGCUGACAAAUGCGUCGGCGUGAACAAGGUAAAAGGAACCUGCUGUCGUCCGGGCCUCAAGCCCCAGGAGGAGCAGCCGAGCACGCGUAGGAGCCCUGCGAGGGAGCACCCGGACACGAGCUCUAGCAAGCCCUGCGAGGGAGCGCCCGGACACGAGCUCCAACGCCAACGCCGCCGGUUGCUCCACCGCGGGCGACGGGAUGACGGCAGGCACGCUGGUGCAGGAGGGCCGGAGGUGGCGACCAGCGCCGGUGGCCUCGCCGGUGAGUGCGGCGGCGGCCUGCGCAGGUGGCCUCAAUCCCCAUUGCGGCGCAUUGUGGAGGAUGAUUUCCAGUGCCAUAUGGAGUUGGAGUCUAGAAGCAGCGAACAAUUUUUUGCUCCAAGUACGCAACCUCCUACUUGUUCUCUUAAGCUUAUGGAAAAGCCGUUGGUAGGGCUCACCAUGGGGAGAAUCCUCAUUCCAGGAGUCACUAACAACCUGCUGGAACCCAGGCAUCUUGAUCCAGUGCGAGGGACGGCCCAUGAUCCCACCCACGCGGCGGCUAUAGCCGGCGCAGCUAUUCCUACGAAAGCCAGGCAGACCAUUGGCAUCCACUACCAAUUUAAGAGUAGGAUUGAUGAUAUAACUUCUGGAUCAGACCAAGAAUGGAUUGGUUACCCUGCCGGAGAGGGCGUCACGGAGUCGAGGUCUGACGAAGGAAGAACACAACCAGGCCAAUGGGCUUUCGAUUACGAAGUUCUAGCUCAUGCACAGACGGGAAAUGGUGCUGGACCUUAUCUAAUGCACGGUGCAAGUGGCAGGGUUUACAUCCCCAAAUUAUUGCCUGAAUGGCACACUGGCGAUGCCCAUCAUCUACAAAAGUUGUCUGCAACCUUCCCCUGA
rnacentral:rRNA from 1 species